rnacentral:rRNA from 1 species
AUUGAACGCUGGCGGCAGGCCUAACACAUGCAAGUCGAACGAGUGGCGGACGGGUGAGAAAUGUCUGGGAAACUGCCUGAUGGAGGGGGAUAACUACUGGACACGGUAGCUAAUUCCGCAGACUAUCGGAUGCGCCCAGAUGGGAUUAGCUAGUAGGUGGGGUAAAGGCUCACCUAGGCGACGAGCCCUAGCUGGUCGGCGAGGAUGACCAGCCACACUGGAACUGAGACCCGGUCCAGACGCCUAAGGGAGGCAGCUGUGAGGAAUAUUGCGCAAUAGGCGCAAGCCUAAUGCAGCCAUGCCGCGUGUAUGAAGAGGACCUUCGGGUUGUAAAGUACUUUCAGCGGGGGGGCGUUACCCGCAGAAGAAGCACCGGCUAACUCCGUGCCAGCCGCCGCGGUAAUUC